GGCGCACGGGUGCGUAACGCGUAUACAAUCUACCUUUUACAGGGGCAUAGCCCGGGGAAACCCGGAUUAAUAUCCCAUAGUAUCAAGAAGUGGCAUCGCUUUUUGAUUAAAGUUUCGGCGGUAAAAGAUGAGUAUGCGUCCUAUUAGCUAGAUGGUAAGGUAACGGCUUACCAUGGCUACGAUAGGUAGGGGUCCUGAGAGGGAGAUCCCCCACACUGGUACUGAGACACGGACCAGACUCCUACGGGAGGCAGCAGUGAGGAAUAUUGGACAAUGGGCGAGAGCCUGAUCCAGCCAUGCCGCGUGCAGGAAGACUGCCCUAUGGGUUGUAAACUGCUUUUAUACGGGAAGAAACACUCCCUCGUGAGGGAGCUUGACGGUACCGUAUGAAUAAGGAUCGGCUAACUCCGUGCCAGCAGCCGCGGUAAUACGGAGGAUCCAAGCGUUAUCCGGAAUCAUUGGGUUUAAAGGGUCCGUAGGCGGGUGCGUAAGUCAGUGGUGAAAGUCUGCAGCUUAACUGUAGAACUGCCAUUGAUACUGCACACCUUGAGUAAUUAUGAAGUGGUUAGAAUAUGUAGUGUAGCGGUGAAAUGCAUAGAUAUUACAUAGAAUACCGAUUGCGAAGGCAGAUCACUAAUAAUUUACUGACGCUGAUGGACGAAAGCGUAGGUAGCGAACAGGAUUAGAUACCCUGGUAGUCUACGCCGUAAACGAUGGUUACUAGCUGUUUGGUCUAAUUGAGGACUGAGUGGCUAAGCGAAAGUGAUAAGUAACCCACCUGGGGAGUACGUUCGCAAGAAUGAAACUCAAAGGAAUUGACGGGGGCCCGCACAAGCGGUGGAGCAUGUGG
rnacentral:rRNA from 1 species